GAUUUUUUCCCAUAGGAAUGCAUGGUUUAGGGUUAUGGUUAGGGUUAGGGUUGGAGCUAGGGUUAGGGUUAGGGUUAGGGUUGGAGUUAGGGUUAGUGUUGGAGCUAGGGUUAGGGUUGGGCUUGGAGCUAGGACUUUUCUGAGUGCAAUGAACCAACUCCCGAGUCUCUAGGACGUUCCCUAAAAAAAUUUGAUUUUUUCCCAUAGGAAUGCAUGGGUUAGGGUUAGGGUUAGGGUUGGAGCUAGGGUUAGGGUUAGGGUUAGGGUUGGAGUUAGGGUUAAUGUUGGAGCUAGGGUUAGGGUUGGGCUUGGAGCUAGGAUUUUUCUGAGUGCACUGAACCAACUCCCGAGUCUCUAGGACAUUCCUAAAAAAAUUUGAUUUUUUCCCAUAGGAAUGCAUGGGUUAGGGUUAGGGUUAGGGUUAGGGUUGGAGCUAGGGUUAGGGUUAGGGUUAGGGUUGGAGUUAGGGUUAGUGUUGGAGCUAGGGUUAGGGUUGGGCUUGGAGCUAGGAUUUUUCUGAGUGCACUGAACCAACUCCCGAGUCUCUAGGACAUUCCUAAAAAAAUUUGAUUUUUUCCCAUAGGAAUGCAUGGGUUAGGGUUAUGGUUAGGGUUAGGGUUGGAGCUAGGAUUUAGGGUUAGGGUUAGGGUUGGAGUUAGGGUUAGUGUUGGAGCUAGGGUUAGGGUUGGGCUUGGAGCUAGGAUUUUUCUGAGUGCAAUGAACCAACUC